AAGAGACAGCAGCAGCCACGGUAAUACAGAGGGUGCGAGCGUUAAUCGGAUUUACUGGGCGUAAAGCGUGCGUAGGCGGCUUUUUAAGUCGGAUGUGAAAUCCCUGAGCUUAACUUAGGAAUUGCAUUCGAUACUGGGAAGCUAGAGUAUGGGAGAGGAUGGUAGAAUUCCAGGUGUAGCGGUGAAAUGCGUAGAGAUCUGGAGGAAUACCGAUGGCGAAGGCAGCCAUCUGGCCUAAUACUGACGCUGAGGUACGAAAGCAUGGGGAGCAAACAGGAUUAGAUACCCGAGUAGUCCCUGUCUCUUAUAA
rnacentral:rRNA from 1 species